ACGCUCGACACCUACGGGAGGUAGCAGUUGGGAAUAUUGGACAAUGGAGGAAACUCUGAUCCAGUGACGCCGCGUGAAGGAAGAAGGUCUUCGGAUUGUAAACUUAUUUUGUCAGGGAAGAAAAAUGACUGUACCUGAAGAAAAAGCACCGGCUAACUACGUGCUAGCAGCCGCGGUAAUCUGAGCGGGCUGGCAAGGC
rnacentral:rRNA from 1 species